AGCUUUGCGCAGUGGCAGUAUCAUAGCCAAUGAGGUUUAUCCGAGGCGUGAUUAUUGCUAAUUGAGAAUAUUAACCUUACUUUACUUAACCUAACCUUACUUAUGGCCAGUUCUUACUUCAAGAUUUAUUUUUUUCUUAUCUAAA